rnacentral:snRNA from 1 species
GUGCUUGCUUUGGCAGCACAUAUACUAAAACUGGAACAACACAGAAAAGAUUAGCAUGGCCCCUGUGCAAGGAUGACAUGCAAAUCGUGAAGCAUUCUAUAUUUUU